CCUACCAGCCCUAACCAAAUCCCUACACUCCUCUUCAAACGAACAGCCCUAACCAAACGACGCCAUCUCCCAUCACCGCCGGUUCCAUCGACGGACCAGCGUACAAAAGCCAUCCUUGACGCCACCACCAUCACGUCUCUUCAGUCCCCUCACCCUCUCUACGAGAUUAUAGAGCCAUUAAUACUCUGCAAACUAGCUUGUUCAACUUCCAAAAAGGGCAAAUGUGAGAAUCUUGUGAAUACAAGGAUGAUUCGAUGGAUAACAGCCUCACCCCAUCUUCAGAGUUCGGUUUGCUGAGAAAACUUUCGGAUUUUUGGCCCCAACAGCUCUUUCCUUUCACUUCACCUCUGAAAAAGGUGAGAAUCCGUCACUUUUCUUCAUCAUUUCAUCUUUUUGAAAUAUCAGAAUUUCCCUCCCUUUAAUUUGAAAUUCAAAGGCCAAAAGCUUCUUGAAGAAGCUGUUGAAACGUUCCCCUUUUUCAGCUAUAAAUACAACCCUCUAUGGGUUGUUAAAGGGCAGAGAUCAAUUGAUGAAAAAGGGGGAAGAACCACAAAAAUAUCCCUGUUAUUUUUUUCAAGUUUUCCAUCAUAAAAUUCCCUCGGCUAAAAACUUGGUUUUCUCAGAAAAAAAAAACUUAUUUUUUACCCUAAGUUUCGAUUGUCGCUCUAAGUUUUGGUUGUCGAAAUCCCCUCCUUCGGUUCUCGACUGAGCAAGGGCCACUCUGAGCGGAUUUGGAGACUCGACGACGAUAAUAGCUUCAGUUCGCUGUCACAAAGAAGGAACCUUGGGAGCAUUUGGAGUUAUGGCAACUCCGGAUUCUGCCCAUGUCAGAGAACCGCAGUUGCAGGAUUUAAUUGCUCGUGUCUAGCUUCUCCGUCUCCCUUCCUCUCUUUAAAUUUCGUGUCUUCGUGCUAUCAUGUAUAUACAUGUUUAUAUUCUUGACUAACACUUUUUAUGGAUUGUAUUUGUAGCACAUUCGUUUCUCGCUUACGUAGGAACUUAUGGAAAAUAGUUAGUAUGAUGGUAAAUUUAGUCACUACUUUUCCUCUCCCCUUGAAUAAUUAAUCUUGGCUUACGCGUGUUAGAAAUAAUAAUUGCCCAUGUUUUUUUUUUUUUUCU